AGUGAACGCUGGCGGUAGGCCUAACACAUACAAGUCGAACGGCAGCACAGUAAGAGCUUGCUCUUACGGGUGGCGAGUGGCGGACGGGUGAGGAAUACAUCGGAAUCUACUUUUUCGUGGGGGAUAACGUAGGGAAACUUACGCUAAUACCGCAUACGACCUACGGGUGAAAUCAGGGGAUCUUCGGACCUUUCGCGAUUGAAUGAGCCGAUGUCGGAUUAGCUAGUUGGCGGGGUAAAGGCCCACCAAGGCGACGAUCCGUAGCUGGUCUGAGAGGAUGAUAAGACACACUGGAACUGAGAAACGGAACAGACUCCUACGGGAGGCAGCAGUGGGGAAUAUUGGACAAUGGGCGCAAGCAUGAUCCAGCAAUACCGCGUGGGGGAAGAAGGACUUCGGGUUGUAAAGCCCUUUUGUUGGGAAAGAAAAGAAGCAGGUUAAUACCCCGCUGUUCUGACGGUACCCAAAGAAUAAGCACCGGCUAACUUCGUG
rnacentral:rRNA from 1 species